UAAGCGUGCGCAGGCGGUUAUAUAAGACAGAUGUGAAAUCCCCGGGCUCAACCUGGGAACUGCAUUUGUGACUGUAUAGCUGGAGUGCGGCAGAGGGGGAUGGAAUUCCGCGUGUAGCAGUGAAAUGCGUAGAUAUGCGGAGGAACACCGAUGGCGAAGGCAAUCCCCUGGGCCUGCACUGACGCUCAUGCACGAAAGCGUGGGGAGCAAACAGGAUUAGAUACCCCUGU
rnacentral:rRNA from 1 species